rnacentral:rRNA from 1 species
UACGAAGGGGGCUAGCGUUGCUCGGAAUUACUGGGCGUAAAGGGCGCGCAGGCGGUUUGCUAAGACCGAUGUGAAAUCCCCGGGCUUAACCUGGGAACUGCAUUGGUGACUGGCAGGCUAGAGUAUGGCAGAGGGGGGUAGGAAUUCCACGUGUAGCAGUGAAAUGCGUAGAGAUGUGGAGGAAUACCGAUGGCGAAGGCAGCCCCCUGGGCCAAUACUGACGCUCAUGCACGAAAGCGUGGGGAGCAAACAGG